rnacentral:rRNA from 1 species
AGUUCGGACUGUAGGCUGCAACUCGCCUACACAAGUUGGAAUUGCUAGUAAUCGUGGAUCAGCAUGCCACGGUGAAUACGUUCCCGGGUCUUGUACACACCGCCCGUCACACCAUGGGAGCUGGUAACACCCGAAGUCAGUAGUCUAACCGCAAGGAGGACGCUGCCGAAGGUGGGAUUGGCGACUGGGGUGAAGUCGUAACAAGGUAUC